rnacentral:lncRNA from 1 species
CGCGAGUCCUAGGGUUUCGAAGUAACAGGCGGCGCAAUCCGGGUAAUCUAUCGCAGACAAACAACAAGCAUACAAUAAGUACUCAUCUAAUGCACAGGUAAAACUCGAACAAGAGAUCGAACCAGAUAGUUUCAACUUAAGAACUCCGGUUGCAAAGAAAGAACGAAAAACAAACGGCGGAAGAAAACAACUCGGUUCUAGCAAGUUGAAACUAGGUCAAAUUUUACUGUAGCAAAAACUUGUUCAAGUUGAUUAAACGGAACGGCGGUUUCGAGACGAAACUCCAGGCGCUUGAAUCACCUGAUUCCGAUAAAUGAGCGAAAAGAAAGACUAGAAAGAAGAUCGGAUCUGAGAUCGCGAUCGCGGAAUAAAUCCGGCGAAAAGAAAAAGAAGAACGGUUAAACGAAUGGACGUCGUUAACCUAGAAGAAUUCGGUGAUCACGUUCGUUAGGACGAACGGUCCGGCGAACGGUCCAAAGGCAACUAAAUCGGAGAAGAAAACGAAUCCGAUCUAGGGUUUCGGAGAAGAAAACCGAACGAAAAACCGAUCUAGAAAACCGGAACGGUUUAGAGAAGAAAAGAAUCGGAACGAUUAGAAGAAAACGAUCCGAGAAAAAGAAUAGAUGUAGCGCAGGGCUACCUCCGGCGAGGUCUCCGGCGAGGGGCUCCAUCGGCGGUGGCGUAGGGCGGCGGCGGCGGUGAGGCGGCGGCGCGGCUAGGUGCGGCGGCGGCGGCGGUGACGCAGGGCGCGGGCGGCGGCUUAGGGCGGCGCGCAGGUGAGGGGCGGCGGCGUGGCGUGUGGUGGAGCUCUAGGCUUUGGGUUUGAUGAUUUAGAGGGGGGUGCUUGGGUAUUUAUAUGGGUGAGGGGAGACAAAACUUGGGGUAGAGGGCAAGGAAUUAGACUAGGAUUAGGAAUAGAAAAGAGGGAAGGAAAAGAUCUAGAAAUAGAAAAGGAAUAUACGGAAGUAGGACCAAAGUCCUACUAGGAUUCGGUACUAGCAAGAGGCGGCGGCGGCCGGCCGGCUCCUGGCGCUGCUACAUGCUGCGCGCGCAGGGAGGCUGAGGCGGUGGCUGGCUGGGCCUUGGCCCGACUGGGCCUAUGGUAAGUUUUUUUUUAAACGGUUCAGCGCGCAGAAAAAAAACAAAAAGAGAACUAAACGAACUCCGAAAAAUCUAAAGUAAAUUUUCCCCGACUCCUAAAAAUGAGCCGAACAAAAUGAACUUUUCUCCGGACCUAAAAUGCAAUUUUCGAAAACGCGCAUUUUUCCCUAUCCAAAUAAAAUGCAAAUAAACACCGGAAAACAAAAAUUGAUCUAUUUAUUAUAUCUUCAUUUUUCCUAAAUUUGGGAAAGUCAUAUUAUUCCCUCUCUCAUAUAUUUUGACACCAGAAAAAUUAUUGAAGAUAAAAUAAAUAAAUCAAAUGAUCCUCUUUUCAAAAUUCGAGAAAACUCUCAAAUAUGAAAAUAAUGAAAUCUCCAACUCUCUCCGAGGGUCCUUGAGUUGCGUGAAAUUUCUAGGAUCAACCAAAAUGCAAGAAAAUAUGCUAUGCAUGAUGAUCUAGUGUAUAACAUUCCAAAUUGAAAAUUUGGGAUGUUACAAACCUACCCCCCUUAAGGUGAAUCUCGCCCUCGAGAUUCGGGUUGGCUAGAAAAUAGGUGAGGGUGGUCCUUGAGCAAAUAUUCUUCUCUCUCCCAGGUGGCUUCAUCCUCUGAAUGGUGGUUCCACUGAACUUUGCAAAACUUGAUAACCUUGCUGCGAGUAACUCUACUGGCAAACUCGAGAAUCUUGACUGGCUUCUCCUCAUAUGUUAAGUCAUCCUUUAACUGAAUCACUUUUAAUGGCACUGUAUCUCUUAGCGGUACCUCCGCCAUCUUGGCGUGACAUCUCUUCAGCUGAGAAACAUGGAAUACAUCAUGAACUCCUGACAGUCCUUCUGGUAAUUCCAACUUAUACGCGACUUCUCCCAUGCGUUUCAAAAUCUUGUACGGUCCAACGAAAUGCGGUGCUAACUUUCCCUUAACUCCAAAGCACUUAACUCCUCGAAGUGGGGAUACUCGGAGAUAAACUCUGUCUCCGGUUUCGUAAACUGUCUCCUUGCGUUUUGAAUCUGCGUAGCUCUUCUGCCUGGACUGGGCUACCUUGAGCCUAUCGCGAAUCAACUUAACUUUCCGUUCAGACUCCUUAAUCAAAUCUGGUCCAAAGAAUUGACGGUCUCCAACUUCGUUACUGUUGUCAUGGAACAAAACUAUUAUCUGAUACGAUACUCCUCGGAACUCCACGCAAACAAAUGAUCCUAGUCAUGUAUAUCUUCGCCAACUUAGCACUGGUGUACGUGGCCUUGACUGGAAUAAAAUGUGCUACCUUCGUCAAACGAUCAACUACUACCCAUAUCGAGUCAUAUCCUACUUUUGUCCUGGGUAGUCUUGUGAUAAAAUCCAUGCCUAUCUUAUCCCACUUCCAUUCGGGUAUCGGCAAUGGCUGUAACAAUCCUGCUGGCUUCUGAUGCUCUGCCUUUACUCUCUGACAUAUAUCACAAACUGCUACAUAUGCUGCAAUAUCCUUCUUCAUUCCGGUCCACCAGAAUGUUUCCUUUAAAUCCAAAUACAUCUUGGUAUUCCCUGGGUGAAUCGAAUACGGUGAAUCAUGUGCCUCUUGCAAAAUCAACUUCCUGAUCUCCGGGUCAUUGGGCACAUAAACACGGUCCUCAAACCAUAAGGUAUCGUGCUCAUCCUCACGAAAUCCCUUAGCUUUUCCUUUGCUAAGUUUCUCCUUUAUAGCAGCAAUCUCUUUGUCAGAUUUCUGAGCUUCUCUGAUCUUAUCCAUCAAUUUUGACUGAAUCUCCAAUGCUGCUACAUAGCCUCUCGGAACUAUUUCCAAACAUAGCUCACGAAGGUUUUCUGCCAACUCCUUUGGUAUUUUCCCCGUCACCAGGGUGUUGACAUGGCUCUUACGGCUCAAUGCGUCAGCUACUACAUUAGCUUUUCCGGGAUGAUAAUGUAAUCUCAUGUCAUAAUCCUUGAUGAGCUCCAACCAUCUCCUAUGUCUGAGGUUCAACUCCUUCUGCAUGAAAAUGUACUUCAAACUCUUGUGAUCCGUGUACACCUCACAAUGAUUUCCAAUGAGGAAAUGUCUCCACGUUUUCAACGCAUGCACUACGGCUGCUAACUCCAAAUCAUGCGUGGCAUAAUUCAACUCAUGAGGCUUCAGUUGUCAUGAUGCAUACGAAACAACUCUCCCUUCCUGCAUAAGCACUGCUCCAAGUCCUCGACGUGAAGCGUCGCAAUACACCUCAUAAUCCUUGGUCUGAUCUGGCAAAAUCAAUACCGGUGAGGUAACCAAUCGUUUCUUCAACUCCUGGAAACUAGCCUCACACUCCUCAGUCCAUUUGAACUUAGUAUCCUUCUUCAACAAUUCAGUCAUAGGCUUUGCAAUCUUUGAAAAGUUCUCAAUGAAUCUCCGGUAGUAUCCUGCGAGUCCAAGAAAACUCCGGAUCUCUCCAACUGUUGUUGGUGCUUCCCAUUCGGUUACGGUCUCAACCUUUGUGGGGUCAAUUGCUAUACCUUCUCCGGAUAUAACGUGUCCGAGGAAUCCAACUUCCUUCAACCAAAACUCACAUUUGCUGAAUUUGGCGUAUAACUGAUGUUCCCUUAGUUUCUCCAAAACCAAACGCAAAUGUUCCUUAUGCUCCUCUUCAUUCUUCGAAUAAACUAGGAUGUCAUCAAUGAACACUACGACGAACUUAUCCAAAAACUCCAUAAACACUUUGUUCAUCAGGUUCAUAAAAUAGGCAGGUGCGUUAGUCAAUCCAAAUGACAUGAAGGUAUACUCAUACAGUCCAUAUCUUGUGGUGAAUGAUGUCUUAGGUAUGUCCUGCUCUCGAAUCUUCAAUUGAUGGUACCCUGAUCGCAAAUCGAUCUUGGAAAACACUUUAGCUCCUUGCAACCGAUCAAACAGAUCGUUGAUCAUUGGCAGUGGGUACUUGUUCUUGAUGGUUACUUCAUUCAAUCCACGAUAAUCAACAACCAUCCUUAAUGAUCCAUCCUUCUUUUCCACUAGAAGUACGGGUGAUCCCCAAGGCGAAGAACUUGGGCGGAUGUAACCUUUAUCCAAUAACUCCUUAAUCUGAUUCUUAAUUUCCACCAAAUCCUUUGCUGGCAUCCGGUACGGUCGCUUCGAUAUUGGGCCUGUACCUGGCAAUAACUCAAUCAAAAACUCAAUGUCUCUAUCCGGUGGCAUGCCUGGCAAUUCCUCAGGAAAUACAUCAGGAAAAUCCUUUACCACUAGUACUUCCUCCUGCACAACUCCUGUUAGGCAGUUUACUUGUGUCCUGUUUGGCACAUGCCGGGAUACAUACUUGAUCCUUCUUCCUUCUGGUGUGGUAAGCAAAAUUGUCUUACUGGCGAAAUCGAUGUUUCCUCCAUACAUCGACAGCCAAUCCAUACCAAGACUCACAUCCAACCCUUGGGAUUCCAGAAUAAUUAAAUCCAUUGGGAAUACAUGCCUUCCUAUACUCAAUGGCACUUGGAAACAUCCUUGUCUGGCCAUGUAUUCUGCUCCUGGCGAGCUUACUAGCAUAGGUGUUUUAAGAAUCCUAGUGGGCAGGCUAUACUUUUCCACAAAUCCCCUUGAUAUGUAUGAAUGCGAUGCACCAGUAUCAAAAAGAACGAGUGCAGUAAAUGACUUAACCAAAAACUUACCUAUUACUUCGGGCUGAUCUUCAAUCUCCUCCACAUUAACGUGGUUCACCUGUCCCCUAUUGAAAGGGUUUGGCUUCUUCCCAGAGCUUCCAUUGCCAUUUCCAUUCUGGCCUUCGGGACAUUCAUUGGCAUAAUGUCCGGUCUUCGAACACUUGAAACAGGUGACUUGACUCAGGUCUCUCUUGGUUGGGGUCGAUGGGAUUGUCCGGUUCUGGCCGUUGCUUCCUCCAUUCCCAUUACCAUUCUUGUGGCCAUUAUGGUUGUGCGAGCUACCUCCACCAUGGGUGUGCUGAAACUUAAAUCCUGGUUUAGGGGUAAAACGGGGCUUCUGCUGGGCUCCAGAGUUAUACUUCCCCUGUCCAUACUUCCUCUUACGGUUCUCAAUCUGCUGUUGCUUCCCUUCAAUCAUGAUGGCACGAUCUAUCAACUCCUGGUAGUUGUUGAAAAUCGCUACCAUCAACUGCAUGCUUAGUUCAUCAUUCAGUCCUUCCAGAAACUUGUCCUGCUUAGCUGCAUCCGUAGCAACGUCAUCUGGGGCAUAACGUGCUAACUUACUAAACUCCUCCACAUACUGGCCAACUGUCCUUCCUCCUUGGCGUAAGUUGCGAAACUCACGCUUCUUUAUGGCCAUAGCUCCUGCUGAAACAUGGGCAGUGCGGAAAGCUUGCUGAAACUGAUCCCAUGUGACAGUGUCAACUGGGUAAGUGGCUGUGAAAUUCUCCCACCAUGCUGUCGCGGGUCCGUCAAGUUGGUGAGCGGCAAACUUCACUUUCUCACCAUCCGUGCAUCCUGCAGUGGUCAACUCCCUUCCUAUCUUGCGGAGCCAAUCGUCUGCUACUAUCGGCUCGGUGCUAUUGGAAAACACCGGCGGGUUCAGCCUAAGGAAACGGGCUAAGUGGUCAACAGGUGGUGGUGGUGGUGGGUUGUUGUUGUUCUGCUGGUUCUGGACUAACAUCUGCAUCAACUGAUUCUGUUGCUGGAUCAACUGAGUGAGCUCCGGUGGAAAUCCAUUUUCACGUCUUGGAGGCAUCUGAGGGUUUAGAAAAGACGAGAAUUAAGAAUAGAGGGGGUCUAAAGGGAAAACACUACCCAUAUGCACAUGAGCAAAUGCACACAAAAUCACUUCAAUCAAUCAAACAAGGGCUUACAAACGGUCUAUCUAUCGCAAAAGUGCUCGACUAUAUUGUGUUUACAUGGGGGAAUACUACUACUAUCUGGUGGUCAUCUAGAAAUUUGAACCGGUGGAAGACUCCAUGAUAUCUGCUCCAGCUUCGUCUUCAAAGUCGGGUUCACUUGGAUCCGAAUCGGUGUCAUCGAUGAUGAUGUAGUUGUUCGGACAUGCGACGUACUCGUCUUCUUCCUUGGAUCCUAACUUCCUCUUGAGUUUUUCAAUCUCCUGCUUCAGAUCGCCAUUGUGUCUUGCUAGAGCUACGAUCUUGUCCAUGUAGUCCUUGCGUGUAGACUUCAGUUCUCCUUCUAGCUCGAUGAUCCUUGCCUUCGCAUUCUUCAACUCUAUCAUGUCAUUGCACAUCUGGUUCUCGUGGCGUCGAAUGUGCUGGUUUAACUCCUGGAUGAAAGAUGCAAUGGAUCUAUCCUUCUUGGUGCUGACUAACUCCCAUUGUUCAUCCCGGCGUCCGCAAAUCUGGUAGAUAGUGUCCUUGAGGUCUUCUUGGUAAACUUCUCCAAUGCGUCCUAUGGUGAUAUGAGCGGCCAUGCUCCUUCCCAGACUCCAGGUUGGUGCAUUGAAAACACUAUCUAUGGGUUUCGUGAUUGGCGCGAAUGUCCUUCCCGGAACGUGAGCUUGAAUCUUCCAGCGCUCCUCUUCAGGCAGAGUGGCGUUGAAGGUUCCCGUGAAGCUUGGUAAUCCAAUGUUCAGGUACUUGGUGACUUCUGGAUUUCGCUUGAAGGAAGUCUAAAAGGUGUGCCUUCAUCCGGUUGAGCAUACUUAAUCUUCGUGUCCUUCAUCCUAAUAGAGUAGAAAAGAUGAGGAGUAGAAAAUGAGAAGAGAAUGGUAAUCUAUGGCUUUAACUUAGUGGUCGUGUCCUACAGUCAGCGUGUGCUCUGAUACCAUCUCUAUACCGACCUGACCCGAAUGGAUCACGUCUACUGUGCUAUGGUAUCAUCCCUGGAUCAGUAAUGCUGACACCACACAGUACAUCGAGGUUUUAUAGCAGAGUUGCAAUCACACACUUAUUACAUCGAUGGCUCAAAAAGAACUUAUUACAAUAAAUAUGGCUUAAGGCCAUCUAAUAUCAAUAACAGCGGAAGACUCGGAAGAUAAAUGGGUCCAUCAACUCCAACGGCAUCACUGAGUAUAGGGCCACGACCUAAAAGCACCUCAAUCAUCGUCUGAAAAGUCUGCAACAUUAAUGUUGCAGCCCGAAAAUGGGUCAGCACAUGGAAUAUGCUGGCAAUGUAACACAUAGAGAGUAAUGGAAUGAAACAGCUAUACUAUAUGCAUAUAUGGCUGGUGGAAAGCUCUAUGGUUACAGUUUUGCGUAAAGCCAAUUUUUCCCUACUGCAAAGGAAUAAAUUUAUUUAACUAUCAUGGUGGUUGUGAAACAUUGAGAAUGGUUGACAUCAUUCUCAAUCCCAAUUAAAAAUAAUUAAACCCAACAACAUUAAUUAGAAGUAACAUGUUGAGAUUCACUCGAUAUUCAAGUACUAGAUACUCAAGUUGUCCAUAACCGAGGACACGGCUAAUCAUGAUUAGUUUGUACACUCUGCAGAGGUUUGCGCACUUUUCCCCACAUGACUCGAUCGCCUCCGUUUGGUUUCUCGCACUACAUGGUGUUUGAGAAACGGAUGACCGAGACAUAGUCUUUCAGAAGCACUAGCUCCUUACAUGUGGGGUAGACCGGUACACCUACAUCCCCUACAUCUGCUAGUACACCCCGUAAGAGUUCGCACAACUUAGUCAACUAUGCCAGAGCCCAUAGUGGCAUGUGGCUGCACACGGAAGUUUCUAGCAUGAAAGAUCUUAUGAUCCCUUUGGGCCUGGGUGGCGGUCCAAAAAAAUAGGCAAGUCCUGAUAGACAUCAGGUGCCUCAAUCCACCCAGAUGUGUGUUAGGUUGCCACCUUAGAUAAACCAUUAAAAUUAUCAAUCUCACAUCUGUCAUGGAUAUCACUCACCCAAUCCACGUCUACUAGCAUAGCAUGGCAUAAUAAGCAAACGUAGAGUAACUCCCAAAGGUUUCAUAAUAAUACAGGUAAUAGGUACUACCUCAUCUACUUCCCAUCCCACGAUUUAAUUAGAUCCUAAUCAUGCAAAGGUGAGAGGAUUGAUCUAAUGCAAUAAAACAUGGGUUGUAGAAAAGGUAUGAUCAAAGUGUUACUUGCCUUGCUGAUGAUCCGCGAGUCCUAGGGUUUCGAAGUAACAGGCGGCGCAAUCCGGGUAAUCUAUCGCAGACAAACAACAAGCAUACAAUAAGUACUCAUCUAAUGCACAGGUAAAACUCGAACAAGAGAUCGAACCAGAUAGUUCAACUUAAGAACUCCGGUUGCAAAGAAAGAACGAAAAACAAACGGCGGAAGAAAACAACUCGGUUCUAGCAAGUUGAAACUAG